CCUACGGGUGGCAGCAGUGGGGAAUAUUGCACAAUGGGGGAAACCCUGAUGCAGCGACGCCGCGUGAGUGAAGAAGUAUUUCGGUACGUAAAGCUCUAUCAGCAGGGAAGAAAAUGACGGUACCUGACUAAGAAGCCCCGGCUCACUACGUGACAGCUGCCGCGGUAAUACGUAGGGGGCAAGCGUUAUCCGGAUUUACUGGGUGUAAAGGGAGCGUAGACGGCAGCGCAAGGCUGGAGUGAAAUCCCAUGGCUUAACCAUGGAACUGCUUUGGAAACUGUGCAGCUAGAGUGCAGGAGAGGUAAGCGGAAUUCCUAGUGUAGCGGUGAAAUGCGUAGAUAUUAGGAGGAACACCAGUGGCGAAGGCGGCGUACUGGACUGUAACUGACGUUGAGGCUCGAAAGCGUGGGGAUCAAACAGGAUUAGAUACCCUGGUAGUC
rnacentral:rRNA from 1 species